GGAUCGGACGGCACUGUGUGCUCUAGGCAGGGACAGCUGAGGGGCCAAUGCCCUGCCCCUCCCAGCCAGAGGAGGAUGCCCCCAUCUGUUCACUGCACCCUCCAGUGGGAAACGAGCAAAACAAGAGGCAAUGCAUUUGCAGUCACUACAGUAGGAAGAGGUAUUCGCUUUCCACCAGCAGACACACAACAGGCUGGAUGUGGAGAGAAGCGGAUCGGCGGAAGAAGACACAAGCGGCUGGACGUCAAGGGGAGCACGCUGGCGGAAGAGCACAGCGACAGAAGAGC
ensembl:lncRNA novel transcript